UCAUAAUUACAUAUUCAUAUCUUGCAUGCAAUUCAUACAAGAUAUGACCUAGUAACGCAAUGAGUGAGUGCAAUUAUGUUUCAUUGCUGGAGAUGUUUGGUUGGUGCAAAUCAAAUGUAACAUGUCACAGAUCAGAGAGCUCUUGAAGAAGAAAGCAUCCGGGUUCUGGACAUGUGACCACAGCUGAGCCUCACAUGACAUUUGAGCUCAAGGAGCAUUUUAUACGCUUAAAAACUACGCAAAAACGACAGAUUUCACAAUCGUGGAAUUCCAAAUACAGAGAGAAAACCGUGCAACGUUACAGUAGCCUACUGGAUUGAAUGUGCAAGGAUAGUUUAACCAAUUGAUUGUCUGAUCGUGUACUUUGAUGAGCUGAAGAUAAAUAAAUCUGCCGUUCAAUGAUAACGUCACAGAUUCCCUGAAGACAACAUCAAUCCCAUUAAUUCAAAAUUUAAAUAAAAAUGACACCAGCCUACCGUGAUGAAUGUUAGCAACAAAUCACAGCGAAAAACGGUCUUAUUUCACAACAGUCGCUUGCCAACUAUAACCAAAAAGUUUACUAUAAAACAGACCAUACAGACACAACGAGUUUUUAAAAAGGAAAAGCAAUCCAAAAAAAAUGCAGUUCUGUAUCGGUGCAAACGUUAAGCGUCCUUGUAAAUCCUGCACAAACCAAACUCGUUCAGGGGUUAUCGGUGAACCGUCCGCUACAGUCAGCACGUCCGUGUGACCGCUUGAAAUAACAACAUUAACUCUCAAUCUCCUGAGGCGACCCACAUACUGCACUGUCAGCCCCUUUCAAACCCUCAACUUUACGGGCAAGUCUCUGGUUAGCAGCGUUAGCUUAGCCUGUCAAACGUUAGCAAACAAGUAGGCGAGGCGCGUCGCCUCUACCAUCGCGCUACGAGACAUACCGCCGAUAGGAAAAGGUCGUCUCCGUCUCCGUCCUCGUCGCUCACACGGUCUCCCACACCCUCACAUUCCGCCAGGUCUUGGUCCUCCGAGUCGGGGAAAGGAGGAGGACUGGUGCGCUCUGAACUGGUCGCCAUCUUCACUGUUAUCUGACGGACUUCUGGGGAGGUGCCGUCACACUGAUCCCGCUCCCUUUUCUUUUUUUUUUCUGUGUGUGCUGACUGUGGAGAUCAAGAUAAUGCUGUGUCUGCUACCUCAUGGGUUUACCAGCUAACUUAACUCCACGCCUAGGGCAGAAGUCAUGCGGUACUCGGGGGAGGACAGCAGGCAGGUAGUAGUAGAGAGGAAGACGGCAGCCGCGGGGUUCACGAGUUUCCGCUACUUCCUGGUAUCCCAGUGGCUUCACUUCACCUAGCUGCGGUUGUUGACGUUCUGGAUCUGGAGGCUAGACACACGCACACACACACUCGUAGCGCACACGUAGAUGUCAGGGACACGCUACUCGGCCCGGCUGUGAAGUUAAACAAAAACCACAGACUCUAUGAAGACCGCCCGAUGUCUCGCCGCGGAUGUUCAGAGGACUCGGAAGCCAGGCAAACUCUUCUCAGCAGCAGUGAGUCGGAGGAGCCAGAAGAAGUGGAUUCAGAUGGAGGUGAAGACAUAUUGUAUAGUAGCCAACGCAUCCCCUCUCAAGAUGACCAGGGAAGUGCACCAAGAAGGUUAACCUAUGAGGAAGCAGUUGAAGAAGCAGGUUUCGGGGUGUUCCACGGGCUGCUGCUGCUGGUGUGUGGCUGGGCCAACGCCAGCGAUGCGGUGGAGAUCCUGUGUGUGUCCUUCCUGUUGCCCACGGCACGCUGCGACCUGCAGCUCAGCUCCUCCGACAUGGGGCUGUUGACUGCCAGCAUCUUCCUGGGGAUGAUGGUGGGAGGCUACCUGUGGGGGUACCUGGCUGACCUGAGGGGGCGCAAGAGAGUCUUAAUCGUGUCUCUGAGCGUUAACGGUGUGUUUGGUGCCCUGGCGAGCUUGGCCCCGUGGUUCUGGCUUUUCCUGCUAAUGCGGUUCAUCAGUGGUGUGGGGGUGGGAGGCUCCAUCCCGGUCAUCUUCUCCUACUUCUCGGAGUUCCUGCCCCGUCUCAGACGAGGAGCCAUGAUCAGCUCGCUGGCCACCUUCUGGAUGGCCGGAAACAUCCUGGCUGCAGGCCUGGCGUGGUGGGUGAUCCCUGCAUCCUGGGCUCAUGUCCAACUGGGGCCGCUGACCAUGCAGAGCUGGAGGGUCUUCGUGGUGCUAUGCUCGGCCCCUAGCCUCAGUUCAGCGCUGCUCUUCAGCCUCAUGAUGCCCGAGAGCCCCAAGUUCCUCAUGGAGGCUGGACGGAAGAAGGAGGCGCUCCAUGUGUUCCGCGUGAUGUUUUCCGUGAACCACUGGAGAUCCAGCAAGACCUUUCCGAUGUUUGGCCUGGUCACGAGUUCCCCGCGCUCGCAGACGCGCGUGAGCAGCCAGGCGUCCUGGUGUGGCCGCCUGCUGGAAAUGGGCCUGGCUCCCAUCAGACAGAUUUUCUCUGGCCCCCUGAGAUCCAGGAGUUUUGUCCUCCUGGUGGUCUUCUACACCAUCUCCUUCGGGUACUACGGGCUGUGGAUGUGGUUCCCGGAGCUGUUUAAGAGGACUGAAGAUGGAGGCUCCCCGUGUGCCAACGUGUCCCGCGCGCCCCAGCUCCUGAACCAAUCCUCCUGCUACCCGCCCAACACAGCAGUUUAUAUGGAGGGCUUCAUCGUUGCCGCCUCAAACCUACCCGGCAACAUCUUCACCAUCUUCGUGAUGGACCGUGUCGGAGGAAAGACGCUGCUCUCCUGCAGUCUGAUGGUGUCCAGUGUGAGCGUGUUCUUCAUCUACAUGGUCCAGACCAAGGCCGGCAGCCUGGUUCUGUCCUGCAUCUUCAGCGGGGUGUCUGUGAUCGGCUGGAACGCCCUGGACGUGGUGGGCACGGAGCUCUACCCCACCCAGCUACGGUCCUCUGCGCUGGGCUUCUUCACGGGGGUGGGGCGCGUGGCGGCCAUCACGGGGAACGUGGUGUUCGGCAGCCUGGUGGACAGUAACUGUGCCGUGCCCAUCCUCCUGGUGUCGGCCCUGCUGUUGGCCGGGGGCCUGGUGGCCCUUCUGCUCCCCCAGACCAAGCAGACGGACCUCAGCUGAGACCCCCAGCUGAAUCCCCCCGCUGAGCUGAGCCCCGGCUUCUCAUCUGCCGGUCAACAGAGGAUAUUUAUAGAUUUUUGUGGAUCAAAAUGAUCCCAGUCCCAUGUCGUACAUUGACGAAAUAUGCAUUCCGGAUUAUAGGACUGAUUCGAUCAUCCGGUCCGAUCUGAUUUCGAACAUUUCGGUGUGGAGAUCUAUUUUUUGGAGGAUUAAGACACAUAUCCUGAUGGGAACAUGUUUGAACUCUGCGGCCCUGAUGUACGAGGUUGUGAUGCAAUCAUUCUAGAUGUCCACCGGAGACAUCCACCAGUUGUUUCUGUAAACGAGACUCUGUUUCUCGGCACUGCCUCUGAAGCUUGCUAGCUCACUGUGAUGUACUCCACACUCCUCAAGCCUUUGUUUGAUGGGAAAGCAAUGUGAAAAAAACGAAUUGAUAUUACAUGUUAUAAGGGGUGUAUUGUUGACCAGUGUUUGACUUUUGAGAAGUCAAAGAAAAGAGGGUAUUAAGCUCUGCCUCGUUGUAAAAAUGUGACUAAAGGCUCAUUUUAGUAGCACAUUGUACUAAGUGCUGUCCGAUAAUCAUAUAUUCAAUAUAUUAAUUCAUGUUAGGAUGUUAUUUUCCUCCUCAUUCAUUUUUAGACACUAAUAAAUAUGUUCUUAAUACAUCGUGGUACGCAGCUUCUUCAUAUAUUGAUCUCUUAUGAAAGAUAAAUUAGAAAUCCGUUUUUUACAAAUCUUAUUGAAUGUUAACAUAUAGCUUGGCACAUACUAUAGAGACCAUUAAUAACUACAAGAACUUUAAAAAUAAGCUUAUAAUAAUAUGUGGAAUAAUUAUUAAGUUUUGUCUCAUGAUCUGAUCACGUGAUGCCCUAACCACGUGAGGCGGGUCGGACAGGUGUUUUAUGAUUGGAGGGCGUGAACGACAAUAAAAUUAUAGAGGACCCCAACUCGCUCCGUCUUAAAUCGUGCUGACCCUGGUCCUCUGCGUUCUCCUCGGGCUAGACCGCGGCGGAGCUCUGGGAAUCUGCAGUGUAUCACACUGCAAGGACCCCGCACGG